AGGCGAUUAGUUUAAGAGAUUAAUUGAUUGACGAUAAUCACAGAAGAAGCACCGGCUAACUCCGUGCCAGCAGCCGCGGUAAUACGGAGGGUGCGAGCGUUAAUCGGAAUGACUGGGCGUAAAGGGCACGCAGGUGGUGACUUAAGUGAGGUGUGAAAUCCCCGGGCUUAACCUGGGAACAGCAUUUCAGACUGGGUGACUAGAGUACUUUAGGGAGGGGUAGAAUUCCACGUGUAGCGGUGAAAUGCGUAGAGAUGUGGAGGAAUACCGAAGGCGAAGGCAGCCCCUUGGGAAGAUACUGACGCUCGAGUGCGAAAGCGUGGGGAGCAAACAGGAUUAGAUACCCUGGUAGUCCACGCUGUAAACGAUGUCGAUUUGGGGAUUGGGUGAACACUUGGUGCCCG
rnacentral:rRNA from 1 species